CGUUAGGAUGAACGCUAGCGACAGGCCUAACACAUGCAAGUCGAGGGGCAGCACAAGGAGCAAUCUGAGGUGGCGACCGGCGCACGGGUGAGUAACACGUAUGCAACCUGCCUGUAAGCGGGGAAUAACCCGUUGAAAGACGGACUAAUACCGCAUAAUACUAAAUUACUGCAUGGUAAUUUAUUUAAACAUUUAUGGCUUACAGAUGGGCAUGCGCAUGAUUAGCUAGUUGGAGAGGUAACGGCUCCCCAAGGCAACGAUCAUUAGGGGUUCUGAGAGGAAGGUCCCCCACACUGGUACUGAGACACGGACCAGACUCCUACGGGAGGCAGCAGUGAGGAAUAUUGGUCAAUGGACGAGAGUCUGAACCAGCCAAGUCGCGUGCAGGAAGAAUGUCCUAUGGAUUGUAAACUGCUUUUGCAGGGGAAUAAAGUGCAUCACGUGUGAUGUUUUGUAUGUACUCUGCGAAUAAGGAUCGGCUAACUCCGUGCCAGCAGCUGC
rnacentral:rRNA from 1 species